AUGGAUGUUAGCUCAGGGCCAGUCUUCCUCAGCAAAAAGAGGAGGAUUGGCAGUAGUUAGCUCAGGGCUAAUCUUCCUCAAAAAGAAAAAAAGGAAAUAUCACUGCCCAGACCCAAUAUGUAUUUAAGCAACCCUUUUUUCCAUCUUUGCCCACACACUUUCUCAAUUUUCCAUUUUUAUUAUAGUAUUUCCAAACCUAGUUCUCUAGGUUAUACCAAUUAAUCUCAAAGCAGAGAGGCUGGCAUAAAUUCGACAUUUCUAGAAGUAGAGAAUAAAAGACUCUACAGCUUUCAAUUGCCUAUUUUAAAGAAAAUGAAAACCGCUUUGUUCACUUGCUCAGCAGCUUUAAAAACAAACAACAAAGGUUUCAUGUUGCCAUAGUUUUAUUUUAAAGAACAAUACUUGUGAAGGGCAGGUAAGUAACUGGAUGACAAAAGUAGGAUAAGAAAACAAAAAUAGAAACAAUUUCAUACGAGAAAUAUACUAACCAACUAAAAAAACCAUCCUAUUUUCCAUCUAAAUUAGUCCUAAAGUGAACCUCAAAAGUUUCCCUUUUGUCUUGAUUUUAUUCUUCUUUCAAUUCCUUCCAGGAACACAGAGUACCCACCUCCUUCUGUGUGGCUAAUAAACGGUACGUGAUUUCAAGGAGCUUUAGAAGGUAGCAUUCCUUGGCCACCUACUCAUUUCAGGUGCACCCCAUCAUUUAACUAUUCCAAAGAAUUUCCUAUGGAGCUAAACGUGUAGUAUAACAACAUGUUUCCAUGUUUGCUCUAGGUGAUCAAGGAGAAGGCCACAAAAGCUUUAGUUCCUGGGGCACUGUAGAUCUCAUGCACUGGACUGGCUCUAAGAAACUAAAAAAAGAAACUGAAGCAAAGAAUUACGAGAAGAGAGCUAAAAUCAUAAAGAAAGUACAGUAUCUUCCCUUCAGAAAUAAGAUAGAUACUACUGCAAGCUGGAACGGACAAAGAACUUCUAUGAAAAGCAAUGAGAAAAGGUACCUACUCUGAAAAAGUCAUCAAUUCUAUAAGAAAACUGAGAAAUAAAAGGCUAUUUGGCUGUUCUUACUACAGUGGGAACACCCCAAAAUUUUUGUUUAUCUACAAAGGAAAAAUCUGUGAUCCAUUUAGAUCUCAGUUAGGCACCAAAAAUGGAUGGCAUGACUUUCUUCUAGGUCCUCUUCCCUUAAGAGCCAUAGUGGCUUCCCCACGUUUACUUCAUACCAGGCAUCUUAGAACAAGCUAAGCAGGAAUUUAAAUUGGUAAUUAACUGAAAUAUAUUACUAACUGGCAUCCCAACAUGCUAAACAAUACCCUUUAUGUACAUACUAACAAGUAUUUAAGCUUUAGCAACUGGGAUAUUUACUUACACUAACACUUUUUGGUUAGAGUGCACUAUCCAAUUUUGCAGCCAUUAGCCACAUAGAGCUUUUUCAAGUUAAAUUAGGGGCCAGCCCCAUGGCCAAGUGGUUACAUUCCCACGCUCCACUGUUGUAGUCCAGGGUUUUGCUGGUUCGGAUCCUGGGCACCAACCUAGCACUGCUCAUCAACGAUGCUGAAGCGGCAUCCCACAAAGCAGAACUAGAAGGACCUACAA